GCAUUGGUGAUUAAGUGGUGGAAUUCUCGCCUUCCAUGGAGAAGACCCAGGUUCAGUUCCUGGCCAAGGCA
rfam:Loxodonta africana unplaced genomic scaffold scaffold_25, whole genome shotgun sequence.